rnacentral:rRNA from 1 species
AACGAACGCUGGCGGCAUGCCUAACACAUGCAAGUCGAACGAAACCUUCGGGUCUAGUGGCGCACGGGUGCGUAACGCGUGGGAACCUGCCCUUAGGUUCGGAAUAACUCCCCGAAAGGGGUGCUAAUACCGGAUAAUUUCUUCGGACCAAAGAUUUAUCGCCUUUGGAUGGGCCCGCGUUGGAUUAGCUAGUUGGUAGGGUAAAAGCCUACCAAGGCGACGAUCCAUAGCUGGUCUGAGAGGAUGAUCAGCCACACUGGGACUGAGACACGGCCCAGACUCCUACGGGAGGCAGCAGUGGGGAAUAUUGGACAAUGGGCGAAAGCCUGAUCCAGCAAUGCCGCGUGUGUGAUGAAGGCCUUAGGGUUGUAAAGCUCUUUUACCCGGGAUGAUAAUGACAGUACCGGGAGAAUAAGCUCCGGCUAACUCCGUG